AGAGUUUGAUCAUGGCUCAGAUUGAACGCUGGCGGCAUGCCUUACACAUGCAAGUCGAACGGCAGCACGGGAGCAAUCCUGGUGGCGAGUGGCGAACGGGUGAGUAAUACAUCGGAACGUGCCCAGUAGUGGGGGAUAACCCGGCGAAAGCCGGACUAAUACCGCAUACGACCUACGGGUGAAAGCAGGGGAUCGCAAGACCUUGCGCUAUUGGAGCGGCCGAUGUCAGAUUAGCUAGUUGGUGGGGUAAAAGCCCACCAAGGCGACGAUCUGUAGCUGGUCUGAGAGGACGACCAGCCACACUGGGACUGAGACACGGCCCAGACUCCUACGGGAGGCAGCAGUGGGGAAUUUUGGACAAUGGGCGCAAGCCUGAUCCAGCCAUGCCGCGUGCGGGAAGAAGGCCUUCGGGUUGUAAACCGCUUUUGUCAGGGAAGAAACGCUCCGGGCUAAUAUCCUGGAGUAAUGACGGUACCUGAAGAAUAAGCACCGGCUAACUACGUGCCAGCAGCCGCGGUAAUACGUAGGGUGCAAGCGUUAAUCGGAAUUACUGGGCGUAAAGCGUGCGCAGGCGGCUUUGCAAGACAGAUGUGAAAUCCCCGGGCUUAACCUGGGAACUGCAUUUGUGACUGCAUGGCUAGAGUGCGGCAGAGGGGGAUGGAAUUCCGCGUAGCAGUGAAAUGCGUAGAUAUGCGGAGGAACACCGAUGGCGAAGGCAAUCCCCUGGGCCUGCACUGACGCUCAUGCACGAAAGCGUGGGGAGCAAACAGGAUUAGAUACCCUAGUAGUCC
rnacentral:rRNA from 1 species